AUUGAACGCUGGCGGCAGGCCUAACACAUGCAAGUCGAACGAGUGGCGGACGGGUGAGUAAUGUAUGGGGAUCUGCCCGAUAGAGGGGGAUAACUACUGGAAACGGUGGCUAAUACCGCAUACUAUCGGAUGAACCCAUCUGGGAUUAGCUAGUUGGUGGGGUAAAGGCUCACCUAGGCGACGAUCCCUAGCUGGUCUGAGAGGAUGACCAGCCACACUGGAACUGAUACACGGCCCAGACUCCGACGGGAGGCAGCAGUGGUGAAUAUUGCACAAUGGGCGCAAGCCUGAUGCAGCCAUGCCGCGUGUAUGAAGAAGGCCUUAGGGUUGUAAAGUACUUUCAGCGGGGAGGCGUUACCCGCAGAAGAAGCACCGGCUAACUCCGUGCCAGCAGCCGCGGUAAUAC
rnacentral:rRNA from 1 species